rnacentral:tRNA from 1 species
CAGCUUGGUUUAAUGGUAAAACACUUGAUAUGUAAUCAUAGAGAUGUGAGUUCGAGUCUCAUGGCUG